UACGUAGGGUCCAAGCGUUAUCCGGAAUCACUGGGCGUAAAGAGUGCGUAGGCGGGUUUUUAAGUGCAAUGCGAAAUUCUGGGGCUCAACCCCAUGAACUGUAUUGCAUACUGGAUACCUAGAGGAUAUGAGAGGCAAGUGGAAUUACCGGUGUAGCAGUGAAAUGCGUAGAGAUCGGUAGGAACACCAAUGGCGAAGGCAGCUUGCUGGCAUAUUUCUGACGCUAAGGCACGAAAGCGCGGGGAGCGAACAGG
rnacentral:rRNA from 1 species